UCAGGAACAGUGAGAAUUGGGUAGAGCAGGUUGUGAGCUGGGUGUAAUGGUUCCUCAGGCUAUUCAGCAGAUGCUGGGUGAGGUCACCCCAUAGAACUGAGAGUAUCCCCUCCCUAAUCUAGCUUCAGGUCAUAGAAAUUGCAGAUGGCUGGGAAGAGCCAGAAAAAAGAAUUGCUGUUCAAGGAGAUUUGAAGGCCAUCUCUGUGUCGGCUGUAUGAACGCCUGUGCCAUGCACACAAAGUCACAGGAGGCCAGAAAACAAGGCGGCACAAGAACUUGAAUAUCCCAGAAGACCUCGAGCCUGGUUUUAGAAAAGAACCACCGGCACGGUGAUGAUGGUGAUGAGCACGCCGACGCCCAGCAGUGCCAGGAGCACAAUCCAUGGUGUCUGCAAGCAGGCAGAUCAAGUCCAGUUAGUAGGAGUCGCUUGGCCCCAGACUGGGUAAGAAGGUCUGA